rnacentral:rRNA from 1 species
AUUGAACGCUGGCGGCAGGCCUAACACAUGCAAGUCGGACGGUAGCCCAGAGGAGCUUGCUCCUUGGGUGACGAGUGGCGGACGGGUGAGGAAUGUCUGGGGAUCUGCCCGACAGAGGGGGAUAACCACUGGAAACGGUGGCUAAUACCGCAUAACGUGGCAAGACCAACGAGGGGGACCUUCGGGCCUCUCACUAGCGGAUGAAACCAGAUUGGAUUAGCUAGUAGGCGGGGUAAUGGCCCUGCUAGGCGACGAUCCCUAGCUUGUCUGAGAGGAUGACCGGCCACACUGGAACUGAGACACGGUCCAGACUCCUACGGGAGGCAGCAGUUGUUAAUAUUGCACAAUGGGCGCAAGCCUGAUGCAGCCAUGCCGCGUGUAUGAAGAAGGCCUUCGGGUUGUGAAGUACUUUCAGCGGGGAGGAAGGCGGUGAGGUUAACAACCUUGCCGAUUGACGUUACCCGCAGAAGAAGCACCGGCUAACUCCGUGCCAGCCGCCGCCGUAA